CCUACGGGAGGCAGCAGUGGGGGAUAUUGGUCAAUGGGCGAAACCCUGAUGCAGCGACGCCGCGUGUGGGAAGACGGUCCUCUGGAUUGUAAACCACUGUCCUCAGGGACGAAGAUGAGGGUAGCUGGGGAGGAAGCUCCGGCUAACUGCGUGCGAGCAGCCGCGGUAAUACGUAGGGAGCGCGCGUUGUCCGGAAUUACUGGGUGUAAAGGGAGCGGAGGCGGGACUGCAAGUUGGGUGUCAAAUCUACCGGCUCAACCGGUAGCCGCACUCAAAACUGCAGUUCUUGAGUGAAGUAGAGGUAGGCGGAAUUCCUAGUGUAGCGGUGAAAUGCGUAGAUAUUAGGAGGAACACCAGUUGCGAAGGCGGCCUGCUGGGCUUUUACUAACGCUGAGGCUCGAAAGUGUGGGGAUCAAACAGGAUUAGAUACCCGUGAAGUC
rnacentral:rRNA from 1 species